rnacentral:rRNA from 1 species
ACACCGUACUGCAAACCGAAACUGGUGGGCUAGUAUAUAUACUCAGGCCAUAGAAUCAACCAUGUUAAAGUAACUCGGCAAAAUGCACGCGUGACCUCGGAGGAAGCGUGGCUAAAAAGACUCAGCAAAUAGCCGACAGCGACUGUUUACCAAAAACACAGGAUAGUGCUAACAGACGUGAAUACGAUCGCCAAAAGCGAUUGUAUUUUUUGGAUGUAUACUAUCCGACGCCUGCCCAAAGGUGAAGACAAACGGCGGCAGUAACUCUAACUGUCCUAAGGUAGCGAAAUUCCUUGACGUUUAAUUGGCGUCCUUGCAUGAAUGGCUGAACGACUGUCGGGCUGUCUCUAACAUGGAAUCUGUGAAUUUGAAAUCUUCGUGCAGAUGCGAAGGCGCUGGCAAGGGACGAAGAGACCCUAUGCAGCUUCGCUGGGUGCUAAGAGUUGGUCGUGAAUAGCUGUAGUGGGUUGGAAACUGACAGACUAAACAUCUGAUUACCACAUACUUCUAGACAUUUACUCUUAUCCUCAAGCUUUUCUGGGACGGAUGCUUCCUGAAUAGUAACGGGAGUGAUCAAUGGUACUGCUAACAGCUUAAAUAGAAAGCAGUGCUUGACUGCAAGAACCACAGUUCGAGCAGGGACGUAAGUCGGCAUUAAUGACCCAGGGUAACAUUUUAU